UCAGAUGAACGAGGAGAACAGCUAUAGGAAUACCGUUGAUGCAUUACACUAAACAUUUGAAAGAUGUAAUACGUCAUUUGGUGUUCCUAUAGUUACCCGUUCAACUUUUAUUCUUCUUCU
rnacentral:pre_miRNA from 14 species